rnacentral:lncRNA from 1 species
UUAAGGUGUUUAGGAAGUUUGAGGAAGUGGGAUAAUACGAAAUUCCAUAAUGUGCAAAGCAAUGUAGAGAACAAGACACAUAAAAGAAGACAGCAGAUUAUUUUUGCAUUGAUGAAGUCAUGAGUUCUUCCCUGGACCUUCCAUAUCUCCUUUGAUCAAGCUUCCUAGACCUCUCCCCUGAAAUGUGGCAUCUGAUCUGGUCAAAGAUACAUAAACUCCCUGUCACUCUCAGAGCUCUUCCCAGCUAUGCAGCUGCCUGUCAAGGAAUACACGACCCACGGCAAGUAUCUUCUAAGUGCACUGGAAACUGCACCAGACCCCAGAAGACAAACGCAGGUUACAAGUGCAACAUGCUUAGAGGAUGCCAGGCUUCUUCCUGUCGAGCUGAGAUGGUCUGAAAACCACAUUGAAACAUGGGAAAUUGCAGCUACCACAGAUGGCAGAUGAGGGGGUUUUUGCAGGCUGUAGAUCUCUCCUGCCGCUCCCCUCGUGGCUGGUAACAGUUGGACGAAGGUAAUGGACGGAGGCUGGCAAAGCCAAGAGUCAGUGUGCUGUUGUGAGACUGGGAUGAAUGGACUUUGACAAUACUGCUGAAUAGGAAUACUUGUGGAGCUAAUACAAACAAUUUGUAAUUGUCAGAGCUGAAAAGUAAAAACAUGAUUAUAAACUGUGCAUAGGAUCAGCUUAUGUCAGCUUUAAAUGAUUUAAAAGUCUAGUGUCUGGAGCUGCAUCUUACUUGCCUGCAAAACUCCUUAAAGAAGACUUACAUAACCAUACAAGCAUGUCUCUCCCUUCUUGUGUAUUUAUUGUGAAAACUAACCCUUUGUCUAGCUGACAGAAGACGUAUUUUUAGGACAGAUGUGAAACAAAGCCUUCUGGAUACAUCAGAAGAUAGGGAUUUUCUUGAUUUAAAUAGAAGAGACACUUGCUUGGUCACAGUAACUCUUUCAGAAAGUGCUGGUUAUCCUUGUUUUAUGCAGGAAGAGGCUCUGAAUAACUAGAUGCUAAUGCAGCCUACAGCACCUUGGUCAGCUGGUGCCUUUCUGCUGUGCCAGGCUUGGAAGCUCUUUCUGGGUGGAAGCGGUGCAAGUUUGUAAAAGAUGCAAACUUUCCUGAGACAAGGGAAGGAGCAUAAGAAAGCCUUUUCUGUUACCUAGAGCCUACCGUCAUUAUGCCUGACCUGAACUCAUUAUCCCUUGGUAUCUGCAGCAGACGGUGACCUUUGAUGGCACUGAACCACAGUAUGUGAGGAGAUGCGUUCCUGGUAAUUUUGUCUCCCGAGUGCCAAAUGUGGAAGCUUCCUCACUCCACGUCCAGGCUUCCUCUACACCAACACAUGCACAAAAAUUAAAAUGCUACUAAAUACUACUCAGCAACACUGUUUAGGUGCUAGGUUGC